rnacentral:rRNA from 1 species
UACGUAGGGGGCAAGCGUUGUCCGGAUUCAUUGGGCGUAAAGAGCGUGUAGGCGGCCAGGUAGGUCGGUUGUGAAAACUGGAGGCUCAACCUUCAGAGGUCGACCGAAACCAUCUGGCUAGAGUCCGGGAGAGGAGAGUGGAAUUCCUGGUGUAGCGGUGAAAUGCGCAGAUAUCAUGAAGAACACCCGUGGCGAAAGCGGCUCUCUGGAACGGUACUGACGCUGAGACGCGAAAGCGUGGGGAGCGAACAGG